AAGAGUUUGAUCAUGGCUCAGAUUGAACGCUGGCGGCAGGCCUAACACAUGCAAGUCGAACGGUAACAGGAAGCAGCUUGCUGCUUUGCUGACGAGUGGCGGACGGGUGAGUAAUGUCUGGGAAACUGCCUGAUGGAGGGGGAUAACUACUGGAAACGGUGGCUAAUACCGCAUAACGUCGCAAGACCAAAGAGGGGGACCUUCGGGCCUCUUGCCAUCAGA
rnacentral:rRNA from 1 species